GUAGUCUCGCACAGAUGCAUAUCAAUAAGCGGAGGAAAAGAAACUAACAAGGAUUCCCCUAGUAACGGCGAGUGAAGCGGGAAGAGCUCAAAUUUGAAAUCUUAAAGGGUUUCCCUUUACGAAUUGUAGUUUAAAGAAGUGUUUUCUGUUGAGGUUUUGGUAAAAGUUCUUUGGAAUAGGACAUCAUAGAGGGUGAGAAUCCCGUAUUUGACCUUACUUUCAACUUUGUGAUACACUUUCAAAGAGUCGGAUUGUUUGGGAAUGCAGUCCAAAAUGGGUGGUAAAUUUCAUCUAAAGCUAAAUAUUGGCGAGAGACCGAUAGCGAACAAGUACCGUGAGGGAAAGAUGAAAAGAACUUUGAAAAGAGAGUUAAACAGUACGUGAAAUUGUCAAAAGGGAAGCGUUUGACACCAGUGUUGCUUUUCUGAAAAUCAAUUAAAGAACUGUUUAUGCUAAGCUGUUUAGACUUUAUCAGCUAUCUGUUUAGUUUUGAGCUUUUCUUUAAUGCACUUUUCAGUUAACAAGUCAACAUCAAUUUCUUUUGCUGUAAAAAAGCUUGAGGAAGGUGGCUUGAGAUUCGUCUUAAGUGUUUAUAGCCUCUUGCCUAUGCAGUCGGAGAGAUUGAGGUCUGCAGCGUAGAUCCUUCGGGGCUAAAUGCAUUUGUGCUAAGUUAUAGCAUUUUAUAGACAACUUGUUGACUAUGAUUUGUCUUGUAGCUUACUCGCUUAUGUUAUUUUACCUACGCUUAGGAUGUUGAUGUGAUACUGCGAGC
rnacentral:rRNA from 1 species